rnacentral:rRNA from 1 species
AACGAACGCUGGCGGCAUGCCUAACACAUGCAAGUCGAACGAGACCUUCGGGUCUAGUGGCGCACGGGUGCGUAACGCGUGGGAACCUGCCCUUAGGUUCGGAAUAACUCCCCGAAAGGGGUGCUAAUACCGGAUAAUGUCUUCGGACCAAAGAUUUAUCGCCUUUGGAUGGGCCCGCGUUUGAUUAGCUAGUUGGUAGGGUAAAAGCCUACCAAGGCGACGAUCCAUAUCUGGUCUGAGAGGAUGAUCAGCCACACUGGGACUGAGACACGGCCCAGACUCCUACGCGAGGCAGCAGUGGGGAAUAUUGGACAAUGGGCGAAAGCCUGAUCCAGCAAUGCCGCGUGAGUGAUGAAGGCCUUAGGGUUGUAAAGCUCUUUUACCCGGGAUGAUAAUGACAGUACCGGGAGAAUAAGCUCCGGCUAACUCCGUG